AACGAACGCUGGCGGCAGGCCUAACACAUGCAAGUCGAACGCCCUUGCAAUAGGGAGUGGCAGACGGGUGAGUAACACGUGGGAACCUUCCCUAUAGUACGGAAUAGCCCAGGGAAACUCGGAGUAAUACCGUAUACGCACGAAAGGGGAAAGAUUUAUCGCUAUAGGAUGGGCCCGCGUAGGAUUAGAUAGUUGGUGAGGUAAUGGCUCACCAAGGCGACGAUCCUUAGCUGGUCUGAGAGGACGACCAGCCACACUGGGACUGAGACACGGCCCAGACUCCUACGGGAGGCAGCAGUGGGGAAUAUUGGACAAUGGGCGCAAGCCUGAUCCAGCCAUGCCGCGUGAGUGAUGAAGGCCUUAGGGUUGUAAAGCUCUUUUGGCGGGGACGAUAAUGACGGUACCCGCAGAAUAAGUCCCGGCUAACUUCGUGCCAGCAGCCGCGGUAACAC
rnacentral:rRNA from 1 species